rnacentral:tRNA from 1 species
GCACCUCUAGCUCAGCAGGUAGAGCAACCGGCUCUUAACCGGUGGGUCCUCGGUUCGAACCCGAGGGGGUGCACCA